UUACUUUACGGCAAAGUACAUAGCGAGGAGUUCGCGAUCAUAAGCGCUAUAUUUCCGUUGCGCGGAUGUUAAGGAUUUUGUGGCAAACCCUAGCGGCUGCCAUUUAUCCUUCGCAAGCUGAUGUAAAACUGCACCUACCGCAUAAUCGGACGCGUCCGCCGUGAGACUGACUAAAUACUAAAUACUAAAUACUAAAAUAUAUCAUUAGUAUUUCAUAUUUGAAAUAACAGUCAACUUAACGGAAUUAAUCUGUUUGACUCCUAUUCCUCUGUCGAGUCCCACCAAGAUUGCAUCCUGGAAAUUGUCUCAAGAUAUAUCACACUCUUAAAAAUUACAAAACACAACAAUAGUGCGAAUAAAACUGGCAUUUGAGUGAAUUUGUUUCUCCCUUUAUUUAUUUAAAUUGUCUUAUUUUUUAGUUGAAGUAAAUUUCGAAUAAAACAGUCGAAAGCGUGGGGAGCAGCUGGUAACGAAAUUGAAAUAAAAUUCGGAGUGCAAAGGGUUAAAACACUGGUCAAAACUGCCCAUCAAGAGCCUUGUUAGACAGAAGAGAUUCCUUGUAAGUCACUAGCGUUUGGUUUCGAGAAACGCAGUCAUCCUCGUUUCUUCUGCUUCGAGGAUUCCGCGAUCACGAGCAGAUGAGCGUGCAAUAGCUACCGAGCAGUUUAACGACCCAGCAUGCUCGUGUCCCGACGUUAAUGGACCUAUAUCCUUAGAACCUGUCAUUUCCUGCGUCGGAGAACUCAUCGUUCAGAUGCGUAAGUUCACAGUAACUGCAUCAAUGUACGCGUACAGUCAUCCCCUGGCCUACGAUGCUAUUUUGCAUUUGAUGAUAAUGAUAAGUAAGCUGACCGUUUCGGCAAUUGCACAGCUGAACCUUAUUCGUGAUAUUUUUCCCGCCACUGGGCGUUCUGUAAGUUGCAGCAACUAUUACGACUAAUUAAAGUUUAUUAUCAUCUGUGCAGUUUCGUUGUAGGAAUACAAACUCUGAUUCGUAACAAGGAGUUAUAACUGUUCUAGAGAAAACUAACAGUAUACACUAAUGGUGCUGUGCACGGUUCACUAUAUGCUUACUUUUACGAAUUUCUGAUAAACAUUAGCGACUCUAAUCACGUCACAUUUGAAAUUCAAUCCUUCCUUCCUCCUUUAACUUGCUCAACAGUCCUUAAUGGCCUGUAAUUAUUCGAGCCUGGUAUUACGUAUCAGAUAUUCUUAUGUAUGAGAAGACAAUCUUCGCAUGUUUUUUCAAUAGAAAUUUAUAUGAAUAACAAGUCGUUUAAAUUUUUGA